UUGGGGGGUGGGAGGGGGCGGGAGGGUGAAUCGGGGAAGGAGGGAGGGAGAACUGAGGCAGCGAAGUUGCCCUUUCGCCUCAUGAUUUAUAUUUGGUCAGAGUAGCCCUGUUCCGCUUUCUACUAGCUGGAAUGUGUGUUGGACAUGUUGUUUCAAUAUGAGACAAUCAGCUGGGCCCUCUGUGGAAUGUCCCCGGAGACUGGAAACGACCUCCCAACAGGGUCAUUUGUUCAGCAGACUUCUAAGUGGCAUUCUUCAACAUCUGCAUUCUAUUAAUACCUUCAGAAUAUUUCCAUCAGCUUUGGGAAAUCAGAAGAUGCUUUGAGAGAUGGUCGGCACCGAAUCCCGGGGAAUGUUUAAUUCCUCUUCGUGAGGCUUUGGCGUUGGCGGGGACCUCCUCCUGCCCUGUCCCUUCUCCUUCAGCGUCACGCAGGUGGAUAUCCACGUUUGCCCAGUAAAACCCCAGGGCGAGGCGGUCUGUCAGGUGGACCGCUUUAGCCUAGGAGGGCCCACGGUGGAAGGCAAGUGUGUAAACACGCGGGAGAGAGUUGGAUGCGGGCAGAGCCAGCCGGGACAGACACCCUGGCUGCGUCUGCUGGAAAGGAGUGGAGAGAAAGGCCACAGUGCAAGGGGCCCCAGCGCAGUGGUGCAGGGCUGGCUUCCAAGUGCCCAUGGGCGCCUCGGCCCGGCCGGCCGGCCCCGUCUUGUCCUCCCAGGGCACGGAGGCGUCGAGGGGAAGGUUUGAAAAGAGGGGUGCAACGAAGAGGUGGAAGCAAGGGGGCAUUUCUUUAAGGAAAAUGAAAAAAAAAACCCAACUAGUUGAAAUACACAGAUCACGUGGAACUAAAACUUAGGUCAGUAAAGAGCACACUCGGGGAGGGUGAUGUGCUCCCGGACACUUGGCCUCCCGAGGAGCUGGAUGUAGAGGAGACCUCGGGGAGAAAGUCGUGAGGGUGGAGAGCUGCUGGAUGGGAAAGACGAGGGAGAAAACAGGGAAUCUGUGAACCCGUGCAGGGCCAGUUCAACCCGGCUCAACUCAGCGGAGUGUUUCAUGAAUAUUCACCGUGUGCAAACGCGGAGCCAGGUACCCUGUAAAGCAGGCUUCGAGGUCACAGGAAACGUGAUCAGAAAGUGAGAUCUAACAGCGGGGGACAGUUUCCCAAGGGGCAUCAAGGAGACACUCAGGGCAAGUACGGGCCCUGUGGACCGCGGGCCGGCCAAGCCCACGUGGGGGCCAGACCAUGCACCUGCUGGGGGUAAGUGAGAUGCACGUGCCUCGGUGCGGAAGCCCCCUCCCCAAAUCUGUCACAGCAGCUGAAGAGGUGUGUGCAAACAGAUCCAUUCAGGUAUUACCUUCAAGGGAUUAAAGAGUAAGCCUCUGCCUCUAAAAAGUCCUGGAAACGUAGUUUUGCCCAACAUGUACGUUACUGCUUAGAAUGCUAAUAUGCAAGGCUGGAGGGAUGAAUUAUAAGUCUUGGUAAAAAUUAUGGAGCAGUUUUCUUGGAAACUGAGAAGAAUGCCAGACUCUGAUAAGGCCCCUGAUUGUGAUAAACUGCUUCCUGCCUGUGUGAUUCUGAGACAGCUUGUCUUCACUGGCCCAGAGGAGGCUGAGGCAGUGGGAAAGGCCCCCUCGCCAUCCCGGACCCGAGGGGGUGCCUGCUGAGCAGCGUCCUCUGCCAGCGGGAGGGACCCGCCGGACACCCGUCACCGCCGCCCACGCUCCACCGGCCCUGGUGGCAAACCCUGACCUCAGCCUGGCACUUCUUGCCCCGGUAUCAGGCGAGCAUUCCGUGAGCAAAAGCUUAAAAAAGACACGACCGUCCGCGACUGAGAUUCAAAUCUUCUUUCACUUUGUCAGAAUCAGGCAGAAUCACUUGGAAAACAAAUAAACAGAUACGACACAGAGCUGGAGUCGGGUCUUCGGCUCAGGAAAUUCUUGAGCUCACGUGUCUGCUCGGAAGAGGUUCCCACAGCCUGGCCGUUAUUUUUUAUCUAUCCCCACAGGAUGUACUCCUACACUGUCUCUUCCAGGGUCCCUUGCUUCCUGUCCGUGUUCCCACAGCUGCCGAGGGUGACGGCUCCAGUGUGCCCUCAGAGACUUCUGAACCCGGGGUCCUCGCUGUCUGCCUGAGCUGGUAGCUGCCUGCAAAUGCAUGGCAGAUGUUCAACAUCAGGAAUCAAAACCGAGUUUUCGCACCACGCGGCACAUUCUUCCUCCCGGUGCUCUCGACAGGAUGUGGAACAAUUUCCCUCAUCUGUUGCUUGCUCAGUGGGGUUGGGACUUUGUGGAUUUUACAAUGAUACUUAGAUUCCUCCCAAAUCUCUUCCAAGAGGUUAAAAAACAAAGAAAACGUUGAUUCAGUCACAGACGGUUUCUAGUUGAGGAGUUUCUGGCUUUGUGGGACACACAGGUGAAAUCGGGAAGCAGGAGGAGGAGAGGAACCACCUCAUGGGGUUUCCUGAGUCUUGGCAUCCAAAGAAUGCCCUCCGGCUAGCCCAGGGGUCCUCUAAAUUCUGAAGAAAACGUGACCAAUCUACAAGAUUAAGGAAAAAAGCAAAAGGCAAUCUCUGUUCAUUUGCAAAUUGGACAAAUUCUGAGAAUUACUGCAAUCCUGCACUGGCACGGAGGGCACUCUGGUAGGGGACAGACAAGAGGGGCGCCAUUUCUCGCAACUAUACUCAGUAUGUGAUCAGUGUCCAGUGACACAAUUUGGAAAAUAUGCCUACUGCAACGGUUUCCUUCUGGAUUCCCAGGCUGUCACACUGGGUUCACAGAUGCUGUCCUGCGUGGGCAUGGCUCAUCCAGUGUCUUGCACAAGCUGGGUGUCGGCGAGCGUUGGUGAAGGGGACCGAGGCACCCUUUAUUUGUCUUUAUUUGUGCAAGCACGGAACGGGACCGGAAGGCAUCCAACUCAGCACCCCUACUCCUCGUCCAGGAUUUGAGCCUGGAGAGUCUGGGCCACGACCCUCAUCAGGGUGGGCUUGACUGCUUACCCGUUACUAACAAACAAACAAAAACUAGAAGUAGCUGAGAGCCAGACUUAAAUUCCUACAGGAACAGCCUCUCCGGCUGAGAGCUGCGCAUCCAUAGGGGAGUUCCGGACAGCUUGGAGUGGUGUUUGCAGAGGUUUGAUGAAAAUGCUUUGUGCUCCCGGCAGCACCCAUGACCUCUGUGUUUUUUCCCCUCAUGGGAACGUACCACCCCUGGGAAAGGCUGUGCACUCACUCGCAGUGGUUGAUGCUCAAGCUUGCAAAAAUCCACCAUGGCCUCUGACAGACGCUCAGCCUGAACACCAAGACUUUUCGAACCUGACGUCUCUUGGCUACAAGCUGAGUUCGAGCAUUCCUCACUGAUGUGGUGACUUCUGUCUGCCAGGAGCGUCGCCACAAAGUCUCCUCACAUUGGAAACUCGGGGCCCGGAUUCUGCCUGGUGAAGCUUCCAGUUUUCUAGGGCAUUCGUGGGCUCUCCUCUCGACUUAGCAGGAGACCCGACGUGAAAUCAACCAGAUGAGGCCUAAGAAUGAGUGCUUCUCGCUUCCUCUUGCUAUUUUCUCAUUUUUGGACCAAAUGAGAGGAGUCUCCUCUUCUUCAAAAGGCUUUUUUUCUUCACUGAAGGGAUCCAAAGCUGUUGCUAGAAUCAGACCCAGGUUGCAAUGACCGCUGUUAACACGGCCUUAAAUGGAUGUCUAGAUACCGUUUGAGGAAAAAUGGCUUUGGAGUCAGAAAUGGAGCCAACUUGGCUUUCUCAUCAGAGCCAUUUUUUUUUUUUAAUCAGUUAUCUAAGCCCUGUGUUUUGCUUUCCUUUCUUCCACACCUCCUUCUAGAAGUUGAAUACGUGGCUCUGGAGCCAGAUGGACAUGGCAUUGGAUCCUGACGUGGUCCUCGUUUGGUUUGGGAUCACUUAAUUAACCUGUGCAAACCUCAGCUUCCUCGUGAGUCACCCGGGGGCAAUACCAAUCCCCCCAGCCUCCCACCAUGAUGUAGUUCCAAGGGCUAAGAUAAUUUUUGCAUAUGUUUUUGGCACAGUCCAGGCAUGCAGCAGGCAUUCAAUAAAUGCUGACUCUAGGCUAUUUUGGGGGAAUGGCACCUAAAUCCACUUUGAAAAGUGUGAGGAAUGCCAAGCAAAUUUUGAGGUAUACAGAAAAAUCGCAGUUAGAAUUUAUCAGGAUUAUUUCUCUUUGUAGGAAACAACAAAGUUGUUGUUGGAUAACCCAAAACUCCGGUUAUCCAGAAUCAUAAAUAAACUCUUCUGGAAAAGAGAUUUCUGUCGGAUGGUGGAGAUUUUAACGCUUUCCAUUUAAAUUUAAAUUUGAAUACUUUCUGGGUGACAAUCUUUUUGAAAUACACUAUGUCAGGUAAAGUUUCCAGGACAGAAUUCAUCAGUUUCCAUCCAUCCCACGUUGCCAUUGUCUACAUCAAUUUUACCGUCCCGUGUUUUGGGUGGAGAUGACAUGGGAUAUGGGGCUUGCGGUAAGACCGACUUGUCUCCCUGCUUUUCCGUGCAGUGAAUGCCUCCCACUCUGCCUCGAGGGUGGAGGGGGGCUCCUGGCUCUGCCUUCAGACUCCCUUCUCAUUCUCCUGAAAGAUGCAGACGUGCCCCUGGCCUGCCUCCAAUGCCUGUGACCCAUACAGGACAGGGGUGUGCCGUGUGCAUCUGGAGAGGUAGCAAUCCUAUUUGGAUCUUCGGGGGGCCUUCUUCCAGGCUUGGGGACAUUGCAGAACUUUGGGGGAUGUGAGGGUGGAGGUCUCUGGGCCACCGAGGUUUCCUUUUCUUCUUUUGCACCAUUGUUAACCUUGUAUUUCCCAGGGGGAAGACGGUUUGCCCUUAAUGAGGGCAAGCUGAAAGUGGAAGAAUAAAGCCAGGACACAAAGUGUUCCGGAUGUCCAACCUCUCACUUGUCUGUGUGGUGACGAGGGCAAACGCUGACAUGGGUCUCUUUCCGGGCCGCGUGACCCGCGCCACCAGUCCUUCAUGUUGUCCCUGUCCGGCCACCGGGCCGUUGGGUACUCGUAGCCCUGCUGAGGUCUCUAGUGGAGAAGGAGUGAGAAACCGUAUUUUCUAUCCUGCUCUCGAAGUGAGACGUGGUACGAGCGCUGCCUUUCCAGCCUCGGGCCUCCCUUUCAAGAGUGAUAAGCCCGCGCGCGUUUUCUCGACCACCCUACGGCAGACCCCCGGCUUUCACGAGGGAAUCCGUGGGCGGUGAGGGAUGAAGCAAACCCUCGUGUCUGCAGAGUGGCUGCUCUGUGACCUCUGAAUCUGCUUUAAAAUUGGGAAAGAGUGAAACAAAACAAAACAAAACAUAAUGCCUGGCGGUGGAUACCCAGCUGGACGACAGAUGAGCGAAGAGGGAGAGAAGCAGAAGGGGGUCCGGCCAAGUUUGGCCUCAGCUGCAGACCCCUCCUGGGGGCAGACUCGUCCUGGCGUCGAGAGCAGGCGCUUUCUCCCAGCCUGCUUCUCCAGGAAGCUGCUUUCCCAGGCUCCCUCCGCAGGGAGGAGCAUCUUGGGAGCCGCCCGGCAGUGGCGGGGUCCAGGGGAGCCCUUCCUGGCCGCCUGGACCUCUGGGCGGGCGGCUCCCCGUCAAGGCCCCUGCUGGCCAUCACACCAGCCGCAAGGAGAGGAGCCGCUUUUCGUCAAGCUGCGGGGAUGUGGAUUUUGUUUAAAGGCGCUUUGUGUGAAAUCGAUUUUUGGUUUUCUCACGAAUGUUUGCUCAUGUCACAGGGCGUGCCCGGUGGCACAGAGGAGGCUUCUGAGGAACAAAUCACAGUUACAGCCAUUAAAGCGAGCUAACCUUGGGUCAAGACGUGUAAAUAAAUAUCCAGGCCCGUGGACUGGACCCAACCCUGAGAUGACGGAAUUGCAUAUAAAGGCUUCAUUCAAGCCUUUCAAACUGAGAUUGCAAAACCCUGCUUGCAGAGGUGCUAAGGGGAUCUGGUAAACAAAUCGGAGGGGGGAGCGUAGCGGGCCCCGCUUUCGCUCGUUCCCUGAUCACUGGCCUCAACGCGUUCCCAACUGACACCAAUAUCCAGGGUUUACAACGAGGUGUUUGGGGGAAGGACGGAGAGGAUUGAUCGUGAUAAUACUGGGGUCACGAACCUCCUUCUCAGGGGGAGGCUAAAAAGUGCUGUGCUGGUACUCGUCGUAGGCAGACGUCUGUGUACGAAUUAGAGGGAAAUUGCAUCCCCUCGGCCCAUCCGGAGGUUGGGGGCAUGUCCAACUGUCCAGCUGCCCACUGACCCCAGUUGUUGGAGAUGCCAGGUUCCUGUCCACCACAGGUCGGCCGUGGUCCUUGCUUUACAAAGACCCCUCCCAGGUGUCAUCUGCUUGAGGUGCUUUGCUGGGGUGUUUCCUUCCACAAACCACCCCUCUCUGUGCAUUCUUAACUGUUUUGUUCACUCGACAACAGGAUUCUCACAGAGUUUGGUAAAUCUUAGAAAUUAGGAGUGCAAGUUCAAGGUUGGGCAGCUUUAGAAAGAGAGUAAAAAUGAAGAUUUUAAAGGUACUUUUGAUAAAAUAGCUAUGCUUAGAUUUGGGUCACAUUCUUUCUCUUUUCAUACCUUCAAGUUAAUCAUAAGAAUAAUUAUAAUGAUUUGUUUGUUUACUAAAAUGUUCUGAGAAUUUAGGAUUAACUAUCCCAGAAAUAACUUUUUAAAGGUUAAUGGGACAGGAGAGAAAUGGCUCUGAAACAAUGUUCUCUGAGUCUGAUGACAUAAAGUGUGCAUGUGACUCAUCCAGGAACGUCCCGGGAGUCGUACCGGGUUCUGAUCCAUUCCUGCGGACUCUGUGAAGCAGGAGCCUGACCCCACCUACAAAACCCCGUCCUGGUGCUGCGCUGAGAGCCGGGAGGGCACGAAGGCACUUCGUGUAGGAAAUCUUAAAGUGUGCAGGGGCCCGAUCAGCUCUUCGGUGGAGGAGGUUGGGGGGCAGAAGUGGAAUCAGUCCAAAGCACUAGCAACAUUAAUAGCUAAGGAUUACAUCCUUAAAAUGAAAUGAGUAAAAGAGCUAAGAAUUUUCUGAUACAUUUUUUUUUUUAAUUUUUUUUUCAACGUUUAUUUAUUUUUGGGACAGAGAGAGACAGAGCAUGAACUGGGGAGGGGCAGAGAGAGAGGGAGACACAGAAUCGGAA